rnacentral:misc_RNA from 1 species
GAUUGUAGAAUUUACCCAAAAGCAGUAAACCAUUUGUAAUCUAGGAUCGGAAUUCGCAGAUGUUCAUUUCUGUUGCAAACUAAAUUCAAGAGUUUGAAAGAGCUUGUUGGUCGCUGAUAAGUAGAUCAAUGUGUUGGCAAAUGGCAAAGGACAGUAGUCAGUUGUGGUGUUGGGGCUCAGGCUUAUAUUUUUGGUUGUAGGAAAGUAUAGAAAUGAGGAGCUUCCAUGACCAAAACCAUUGGACAUGCUUAUGUUGCAAGGGUUUGGCAGGCGCCGGUCAAUUAUCACUUAGGUGAAAAAGUGUAGCAAUUUUUCAUUGAAAUGAAAAAUGAAGAGUUGUCACUUAAAUUUUAAGAGAAAAUUAAAAAAAAAAUUAAUU